GAAAUUACAGUGGGACUGCCCUUCCAAAGUGCCUUUGCACAAACCGUUUUCUCGUCCUGCUAGCCCGACAUGAGAGCGAGCCGGCCUACAGACCAACCCGCAGCACUGUCCUCUCGCAACCCUAGCGCCGCCGGUGCGCCAACGCCUGCCUGCCGACGCGCCGCCGCCGUCCCUCGCAUCUCCGUCUUUUCUCCAUCGCCGCUCGCAGUGGCCGUCCGAAGUCGCCGUGCAGCCAUCUCCUGCAUCAGCUAGCACUCCCUCCGUUGGUCGCCGCCGGCAGCCCGACGAUCUGCUCCGUCCAGCCUCGCCCGCAAGAUCAACGCCGGCAGCCGUACGACCUGCUCCGUCCAGCUCAAGAAAAUGUCAAGUGUGUCUGCCGAAUGGACCGAUGAGAACACUCGGAUUAUCGUCGAGUUGUUUGUGAAACAAGUGAGGGCUGGAAAUAUGCCAAACACUCAUUUGACACUCAAUGCAUAUGAUGAGGAAGGAAAGGAGUUCCUGAUGAGAAUUGGACUUGAGUACUUACAAAAGCAAGUGAGAAACAAAUGGGACAAGUUAAAACGUGAGGACAACACAUUCAAGAAGCUCAAGUUGCGUGAGACUGGAGGGGGGUGGGACUUUGAGAAAAACACGAUGAAAUAAGAUAACGAGUGGUGGAAAAAGGCGAGAGUUGUAAGUUGUCAUGCUUAUGUUUCUCAUAAAAAAAUUCUAAACUUGUCAUGCAUUAUAUACUAACUAGGUGAUACCCCGCGCAUUGCUGCAGAGAUUUUGUAUUGGAGACUAGAUGCAAUGAUCAAUAUCAAAAAUGAUGGAAGAUUUUUUUAUUGAAACCCUGUAUUGACUGAUGCGUAUUGUUUUAUUAUUUGAGCUAGAGAUGUUGUUUGCUGCU